UAGGGAAUCUUCCACAAUGGACGAAAGUCUGAUGGAGCAACGCCGCGUGAGUGAAGAAGGUUUUCGGAUCGUAAAGCUCUGUUGCUGGUGAAGAAGGAUAGAGGCAGUAACUGGUCUUUAUUUGACGGUAAUCAACCAGAAAGUCACGGCUAACUACGUGCCAG
rnacentral:rRNA from 1 species